CAGGAUGGACGCUGGCGGCGUGCUUAACACAUGCAAGUCGAACGGAGAUAUCGGCUUCGGCUGAUAUCUCAGUGGCGGACGGGUGAGUAACGCGUGGUAACCUGCCUUACACCGGGGACAACAGUUGGAAACGACUGCUAAUACCGCAUAAGACCACGGAGCCGCAUGGCCCUGGGGUAAAAGAUUUAUCGAUGUAAGAUGGACCCGCGUCUGAUUAGCCAGUUGGCGGGGUAACGGCCCACCAAAGCUACGAUCAGUAGCCGACCUGAGAGGGUGAUCGGCCACAUUGGGACUGAGACACGGCCCAAACUCCUACGGGAGGCAGCAGUGGGGAAUAUUGGGCAAUGGGCGCAAGCCUGACCCAGCCGACGCCGCGUGAGUGAAGAAGUAUUUCGGUAUGUAAAGCUCUAUCAGCAGGGAAGACAAUGACGGUACCUGACUAAGAAGCACCGGCUAAAUACGUGCCAGCAGCGGC
rnacentral:rRNA from 1 species